CAAAGAAGUUCACAUUUACAUGAAAGCUUUCUGACAUAGUGUAGAUUCAAGUUUGCAAAAACCAUGGCCUCCACGGGAAGGUUUGGGGCCAUAAUAAGAACUACGGUUUUACAUGCAAAUAGAUAUGGAAAAUCUUCUGAUAUGGACCAAGGUGACUCAGGUGAGCGAUGUGGCCCAUGGGCCUCUUGUUUACUUUCUGUUUAUUCCCUUACCAAACUUUCAUCUGAAACAAGAAAUCCCAUUGGCUGAUUAAUUUUAACGUUUUGCGUCAUCCUUUUUCUCGAGCCCAACUUUUAAAUAGCGACUGAUGUCAAGGGUUAGUGCGAGGUAACGAAUCAAUAACCCUUGACUUGUGAAGAUGAUGUUUGUACGUCUUUUAAGUUUGACGCCGCCAUGACACAAGCGCUGUUCGAACUCAGGACCUCUCGUUCUACCUUGCCCCUUAUAGUAUGCCUAUGUAAACAUUUGACGUCACAUAACCAUGAUCAACAUAAUGAAAUCUAUGUUUGUGAAUUCUUUCAAUGUGUCAUUAAUUACAACAACGGGAAAAAAAAGAGUUGGGGUCAACAUGUACAAAGAUACUAUUUUGCGCAUGUCGAAAUAUUCAAUCAUUGUAUUAAAUUAAAAUAUCAAAAUACGUCAUCGCUGCAUGGUGAUUAUUAGAUAAAGAGGACAAUCAGUCACAUUUCAUAUCCAGGAUAAGGAGGACUGUAGUGAUUGACCCACAUUGAUUGCCUCAUCAAACCUCGCUGCAUGUGGGUUUUAAUGAACUGAUUUCAAUUUGGGAAAAAGGUAAGGAUAGUAGUUCUCCUACUUCAUACAGUUCCAAAAUACUGACCAUGAGGAUAUCAAUUUCAAAGAAAUACAGUUCACUUAAUUUCCACUUGAACGAGCACUACUAUGUAACUAUUCAAGACUUAAUUCAUAUUUUUCCUACUACCGGUUUCAGUUUCAAAUAUCACAGUGGCGAAAAAUGUAGUUUCGGUUUUACUGUCACACUUAAAUUAAAAUACCAUUUUCUUGUUCUAAAACAGCUCUAUAAAAAUAUCAUUUUUAUUCGAGGAAUGAUUAUAUUGUAAUAUGAUAGUCUUUUAUUUUCACAGAUUAAAUAAUAGACUUAUGGCGGAUACUUAACACGAAUCCAAAUCUUAUACGUAUCAGUUCUUAUCUAAAUUCGACAUUUCGUGGAAGUCGCUGAUAACAUACAAGACACCCGGUAACCGGAUAUCUGUGCACUACUUUAAAAUCAAAUGUGUAACAGAGAUUUAAUUUUUCCACACAUUUUCAAAAAUAGAUAUAGUACUGUGUGAUUUCGACGAAAACGAUAAAUUGUUGACUUUUUUAUAAGGCUGCCUGUAUUAUUCGCCAUGUUAUGUAUAAAUAUCAUCUAUCCAUUUCUGUCCAUGUAUCUGUCUGCUGUGUAUAUUUACGACAAAACUACAUUGUUGACUGGUUUAUAUAACUAAUUGUACAAUCCUCUGAGGGGAAGCUGGUAACUAAAUUUCAGGGCAGUAUCUGUAUCCAUUAUGAAAAAAGUAGGAAACCUUUUUGACCUACAUUUAGUCUGAAAAUAGGUCAAGGACGGACUAAUUCAGCUGAAAUGCAAAAUGAACUUGCAUUCCUCUGAAUGGAAGCUUGUUACUCAAUGUCAGGGCAAUAUACAUGUAUGUAUCCGUAAUGAAAAAAGCUGUUUGGCAUACUUUUAGCAUUAAUGUAGGUCACGGACGGAUUGCCCAAUCCAGCUGAAAUGCAAAUUGAUAUUGUUUUCCUCCAAGAGGAAGUCUGUGACUAAAUUUCAGGGCAAUAUCUGUAUCCAUAAUGAAGAAAAGUCCGAAAACUAUUUGACCUACUUUUAGCCCUUAUGUAGGUCCCGAUCGGACGGAUCAAUCCAACUGAAAUACAAGCUAUACUUGUAUUCCUCCGAGAGAAAGUUUAUGAUUAAAUUUCAGGACAAUAUAUGUAUCCGUAAUGAGAAAGAGUCUGGGAAACUGUUUGACCUACUUAUAGCCCUAAAGUAGGUCAAGGUGUACCGAUCCAUGCAGCUGAAAUGCAAACACACUCUUACACUUCUUGAGAAA